GGGUGUGUAGCUCAGCUGGUAGAGCUGCGGUCUCCAAAGCCGCCGGUCGGGGGUUCGAAUCCCUCCGCACUCG
rnacentral:tRNA from 1 species